GUGGAAUUCCCUCCUAUAACUGAGAAUGAAACCAUAACUGAUACCUUUAAAAUCACACAUAUGGUUUCUGUUUUUAAAUAUUCUCUGAGUCACAGAUGUCUGGCAGGCCAGUCAGUACUGAGAAAAGAAAAAAUAUUUACAAUUCUAGGUCACUAUUUCUCACAAAAAAAAAAUCAGUAAAGAAAGUUGAAAACCACUUGCAUGUCACCAAUCCUUAAAUUUCAUUUGGGUGCUGGAGUAUUUAAUUUGAGGGAAGAAAGUGAAGCUUUCCUGUGCAGGAAAGUUUUUCCCACAUGGCACCUUAAAGAGGAAACUAGUCAAUAAGAACAAUAAUGCUGAACAGCUCCUCUUGGAAAAUCUCCUUCAAGGUGUCCCAAGGAGGACACCCCAAAGAUGCAACUAUGAACUAUUCAAACAUAUCACUUUCCCUCUCCCAGCGUGACAAAAUCUUCUCUCCAGAGGUUUACAUCUUUGCCAGACUUAGUUUAGUCCCUUCUCCCCUGCGAGGCCAACUGGAGCUGAUCAGUUGUUGUUGUUGA
rnacentral:lncRNA from 1 species